rnacentral:rRNA from 1 species
UACGUAGGGUGCUAGCGUUGUUCGGAAUCAUUGGGCGUAAAGCGCGUGUAGGCGGCUUUGCAAGUCGGGUGUGAAAGCCCUCAGCUUAACUGAGGAAGUGCGCCCGAAACUGCAGAGCUUGAGUACCGGAGAGGGUGGCGGAAUUCCCCAAGUAGAGGUGAAAUUCGUAGAUAUGGGGAGGAACACCGGUGGCGAAGGCGGCCACCUGGACGGAUACUGACGCUGAGACGCGAAAGCGUGGGUAGCAAACAGG